GGGCCGGUAGAUCAGUGGUAGAUCACUCCCUUGGCAUGGGAGAGGCCGCGGGUUCAAAAGCUUGUCCGGAUUGUUUUAACUAUUUGCCGGAAUGCUGCAAUUCCCGUCCGGUCCA
rnacentral:tRNA from 1 species